rnacentral:tRNA from 4 species
GCGGGUGUCGUAUAAUGGCAAUAUGUGUCCUUCCCAAGGAUAAGACACGGGUUCGAUUCCCGUCAUCCGCU